rfam:Triticum aestivum genome assembly, contig: Triticum_aestivum_CS42_TGACv1_scaffold_221374_3B
CAACUACUACCUCUGUCCCAAAUUUCUUGUCUUAGAUUUGUCUAGAUACCGAUGUAUCUGUGACUUGAUACAUCCGUAUCUAGACAAGUCUAAGACAAGAAUUUUGGGAUGGAGGGAGUACUUU